AUGCACUGGCAUCCAGGAGCUGGGCAUUUUUCCCUGUGGAUUCUCUGUUUGGUGAUAAGCUGGGCUCCCUCCCAGGAAGCGCCCCUACUCAACGAAACACUGGAGUCGAUGAACCAAAUAAUUAAUCAAUUACAUGACCCUGUUAAAGCCCUUUAUGAGUUCUAUAAGACGGCAGAAAGAUUGCCAGAUAGAGCUCGUCCUCUCGUUUCCUAUGGACCUGAGCUAAGUCUUUCGGCGUUUCAGGGUAACGGCAGCACAUUUCUGAGGCAGCUGCGAAAGAUCAAGGAAUUCAAAGAGCUUCCCUCAGAUUCAGACUUCCAUAACAAUAUCUCUAAUGUCAUCCUUCAGCUAGAGAAUCUCAUAGCCAAAUCUGAGACAGCCACAAUUCCCCCUCUUCCAGAAGACACUAAUGGUACCAUGGCCCCCCUGCUGGAGAAAUAUUUUGUUUUGGAUACCUUUAGAGAGUUCUCACAUUUUAUAGCAUAUCUCUGUGAGCCGCUACAAGAUGAGCGUCUAGGGAGAGGCAAGUGUGCUUGCAAGGCGCUCACGACGCUCUGA
rnacentral:lncRNA from 1 species